CUGGCACAGCUCCACUGCCAGGGCACCCAGAUCCAGCACCCAGACUGGCACAGCUCCACUGCCAGGGCACCCAGACACCCAGGGCACCUUUAAACCCAAGAAGGGCACUGGGUGGGAUCUGAGGCCCCUUUGAUCCCCAAAAGUGCCCUGUGGGGGAUUUAAGAUCCCCUUUCAGCCCCAAAAGGGCCCUGGGUGGGAUUUGAGGUCCCUGGGUGGGAUUUGAGGUCCCUUUGAGCCCCCAAAAGGACCCUGGGUGGGAUCUGAGGUCCCUUUAAAACCAAAAAGGGCACUGGGUGGGAUUUGAGGUCCCUGGGUGGGAUUUGAGGCCCCUUGGAUCCCCAAAAGGGCCCUGUGGGGGAAUUUAAGAUCCCCUUUUAGCCCAAAAGGGCCCUGGGUGGGAUUUGAGGUCCCUGGGUGGGAUUUGAGGUCCCUUUGAGCCCAAAGGGACACUGGGUGGGAUUUGAGGUCCCUGGGUGGGAUUUAGGGUCCCUUUGAUCCCCAAAAGGGCACUGUGGGGGAUUUAGGGUCCCUUUCAGCACCAAAAGGACCCUGGGUGGGAUUUGAGGUCCCUGGGUGGGAUUUGAGGACCCUUUGAUCCCCAAAAGGCACUGGGUGGGAUUUAGGGUCUCUUUGAUCCCCAAAAGGGCCCUGGGUGGGAUUUGGGGUCCCUGGGUGGGAUCUGAGGUCCCUUUGAGCCCAAAAAGGGCCCUGUGUGGGAUUUGAGGUCUCUGGUGGGAUUUGAGGUCCCUUUCAGCCCCCAAAAGGGCCCUGGGUGGGAUUUGAGGACCCUGGGUGGGAUCUGGGGUCCCUCUCAGCCCACACCAUCCCAGGACUCCACGGGAUCAAGGAGUCAAACCCCAACACACACAGUGACACAGUGACA
rnacentral:lncRNA from 1 species